rnacentral:scRNA from 1 species
CUGCGAGUCGAUCAUCUCGAUACUGUGAGCAA